GAUGAACGCUGGCGGCGUGCCUAAUACAUGCAAGUCGAGCGAAUGGAUUAAGAGCUUGCUCUUAUGAAGUUAGCGGCGGACGGGUGAGUAACACGUGGGUAACCUGCCCAUAAGACUGGGAUAACUCCGGGAAACCGGGGCUAAUACCGGAUAACAUUUUGAACCGCAUGGUUCGAAAUUGAAAGGCGGCUUCGGCUGUCACUUAUGGAUGGACCCGCGUCGCAUUAGCUAGUUGGUGAGGUAACGGCUCACCAAGGCAACGAUGCGUAGCCGACCUGAGCGGGUGAGCGGCCACACUGGGACUGAGACACGGCCCAGACUCCUACGGGGGGCAGCAGUAGGGAAUCUUCCGCAAUGGACGAAAGUCUGACGGAGCAACGCCGCGUGAGUGAUGAAGGCUUUCGGGUCGUAAAACUCUGUUGUUAGGGAAGAACAAGUGCUAGUUGAAUAAGCUGGCACCUUGACGGUACCUAACCAGAAAGCCACGGCUAACUACGUGCCAGCCGCCGCCGUAA
rnacentral:rRNA from 1 species